AUUGAACGCUGGCGGCAGGCCUAACACAUGCAAGUCGAGCGAGCGGCGGACGGGUGAGUAAUGUCUGGGAACCUGCCUGAUGGAGGGGGAUCACUACUGGACACGGUAGCUAAUACCGCAUACCAUCAGAUGUGCCCAGGUGGGAUUAGCUGGUAGGUGGGGUAACGGCUCACCUAGGCGACGAUCCCUAGCUGGUCUGAGAGGAUGACCAGCCACACUGGAACUGAGACACGGGCCAGACUCCUACGGGAGGCAGCAGUGGGGAAGAUUGGACAAUGGGCGAAAGCCUGAUGGAGCCAUGCCGCGUGUGUGAAGAAGGCCUUCGGGUUGUAAAGCACUUUCAGCGGGGAGGCGUUACCCGCAGAAGAAGCACCGGCUAACUCCGUGCCAGCAGCCGCGGUAAUUC
rnacentral:rRNA from 1 species